UACGUAGGGGGCAAGCGUUGUCCGGAUUUAUUGGGCGUAAAGAGCGUGUAGGCGGCCAAGCAGGUCCGCUGUGAAACUCGAGGCUCAACCUCGAGACGUCGGUGGAAACCGUUUGGCUAGAGUCCGGAAGAGGAGAGUGGAAUUCCCGGUGUAGCGGUGAAAUGCGCAGAUAUCGGGAAGAACACCCGUGGCGAAGGCGGCUCUCUGGGACGGUACUGACGCUGAGGCGGCGAAAAGCGUGGGGAGCAAACAGG
rnacentral:rRNA from 1 species